UACAGAGGCCUGGAGCGUUAGGCGGAAUCACUGGGCUUAAAGCGUGUGUAGGCGGACUUCUAAGUGCCUUGUGAAAUCCCACGGCUCACCCGUGGAACUGCUGGGCAUACUGGGAGUCUUGAGCCACCUAGGGGCGAGCGGAACAAAUGGUGGAGCGGUGAAAUGCGUAGAUAUCAUUUGGAACGCCAACGGAGAAAUCAGCUCGCUGGGGGUGUGCUGACGCUGAGACACGAAAGCCAGGGGAGCAAACGGG
rnacentral:rRNA from 1 species